rnacentral:rRNA from 1 species
UACGUAGGCAGCGAGCGUUGUUCGGAGUUACUGGGCGUAAAGGGUGUGUAGGCGGUUGUUUAAGUUUGGUGUGAAAUCUCCCGGCUCAACUGGGAGGGUGCGCCGAAUACUGAAUGACUUGGAGUGCGGGAGAGGAGAGUGGAAUUCCUGGUGUAGCGGUGAAAUGCGUAGAUAUCAGGAGGAACACCGGUGGUGUAAACGGCUUUCUGGACCAUAACUGACGCUGAGGCACGAAAGCGUGGGUAGCAAACAGG